rnacentral:rRNA from 1 species
GGAAUCUGCCCUUUGGUGGGGAAUAACCCGGCGAAAGCCGGGCUAAUGCCGCAUGAGAUCUUCGGAUGAAAGCGGGGGAUCGUAAGACCUCGCGCCGAUGGAUGAGCCCAUGUCGGAUUAGCUAGUUGGUGAGGUAACGGCUCACCAAGGCGACGAUCCGUAGCUGGUCUGAGAGGACGGCCAGCCACACUGGGACUGAGACACGGCCCAGACUCCUACGGGAGGCAGCAGUGGGGAAUAUUGGACAAUGGGCGAAAGCCUGAUCCAGCGACGCCGCGUGUGUGAAGAAGGCCUGCGGGUUGUAAAGCACUUUCGAUGGGAACGAAAUGUGCCGGGCUAAUACCCCGGCAAGCUGACGUUACUCAAUGAAGAAGCACCGGCUAACUCUGUGCCAGCAGCCGCGGUAAUACAGAGGGUGCGA